rnacentral:lncRNA from 1 species
CUUGCAGCACAAGCUGCAAGCACCCUUGUCUUUAAGAAUGCCUUUUGGUCAACAAUGUUCACCAACAUAUAUCGGCCUACCUUGACGGUUGGUAGGCAUUUACAAAUCUAAGUUAGCACCAACUAUAGUUCUUGUGCCUCUACUUCCGGUCCGCCAUGAGGCCGCCUAAAGCGGUUGAAGGCCCAAACAGCCUUUGAUAUGGUUACAUUAACCUUAGGAUGUUUUCCAGAUUCAGUUCAAACCUGGUCACAUUCUCCAUCAGUUAGUACC